rfam:Aedes albopictus isolate Foshan contig58155, whole genome shotgun sequence.
GGUCGUGUGGCUAGGGUCACAAAGCUCUUAGUCGCAUCGUGCUGAGAAGCGCGGGUUCGAUUCCCGCCACAGCUG